UUUUUUCCGGAUUGUUCUUUUUUAGCUGAAAUACAAAACGCAACAUGGUUUCGCGUGGAACACUUUGCAUUUUCUUUGCUCUCCUGAUCAUUGGCGCCACCAUCUCAGACGCAUCAGCUGGCUGCGCUGAUGAGGCACCCGGUGGUAAACUUCAAUCACGCAUGGACCAAGAAAGGGUGCCUUUUCACAAUCCGAAUUACAGACCGAAAUCCAUCACUAGAAUUUUAGCAGGAGGAAGACAUCAUUAUGGACGCCAUCGGUACAUAACAGCCCGUAAAUGAUUGGGAAAAAUCUAAUCCUGAUGUUGUUGUUUCGCAGUUUUAGUCAUUAUUGUCAUUAAACUGAAGAAAAUUAAAUGUAUUGGUAAAUAAUUAAAUGGUAUAUAG